rnacentral:lncRNA from 11 species
AGUUGGCGGAGACAGAGGGGCGGGCCGGAAAGCGGAAGCAGGGCCCAGCUUCCUGUGAAAGGGAACGCGACUAUUGUACGGCAACGGUCACGUGAUCGAAAAUCAUGGAGUGAAGGGCGGUUGAAACUAGAGCGGCUCCCCAGGAAGGAAAGAGUUAAGUUCCGGCUGUGGCAGGAGAGCAAGCCUGGGUCAGGAGAGAGUACCGUAAAAGUGUGUUGCUUUUGUAUCCAUUGAAGUAAGCUAAGGAAGGAAUGAGAAAGUGAGAAGAGGAAAAAGAAUCUGGACAGAUGGUUGAUUGGGAUUCUUCCUGCCAAGUCGGGAUAGUUGGAUGAAAUGGAAACUGAAUCACAGAAAUCCCAUAUUGGUUACAAGUAAGAAAAU